GUAUUUUGUGUGUGUUUGUGCGUGGCUGUGCGCGUGUACGUGCGCGCGCGGGUGGGCAGGUCGCGGGAGCGGGGGGGGGGGGUGGGGGGGUGGGGGAAGGGGGGUGCCGGCCGCCUGGAGAUGCCGCUGCAGGACGACCUGACUUCCUUCGCUUGAGCACUGCGCAUCCACCAAAGCCGCCCGCCGAUGGCUGACUACCCUAUUGUGCGUGACCAAGGAGGCUGCAGCGCCUCCGCCCCGGGCGCGCGGCGGCAGGUCCAGGCCGCGCGCGGGCUGAGCACGGCAUGCCGGGAGUUGAAGUCCUAGCGCGCUGAGCCUGAAGGACGUGUCGCGGCGCCGCGCCCGCUCCUCCUUCCCCGCCCUUCUCGGCAGUCUCCCGCCCCCUCCCUCCGCCUCCUCCUCCCUCGCCCGCAGCCGAGCGUCCCCUCCCCCCACCCGUCGGGCUGCUCGGCGGCUACUGCAGAGGCUUCCGAGCUGAGUCGCUGAGGAGGAGGCUCCGGGUCCCUGCGCGCCAUCCGCCACCCUACUGGACACCGGCGAGGGAACGAGAGCGUCGCCGCUGCAGCCGCCAGAAAAGACAAGGGCAUCGCCGUCUCAGCCCCCGCCGUUCUCGCUUGCAGCCGCUCGCUGGCUGACUAGGGUUCCUUCAGAAGGCUCCUCUGAAAGCCCUUCAGGCUGCUCUGCCCCCAUGAUACCUCUCUUCUCCAGACUCUUGCUGACAAAACCACGCCAAUAAUUUGAACAGGUAAAAAUUAAUAUAAUCAAUAUAAAGUUUUUUGAGUAUUGUUAACUAGGUAAAAGAUGGCUCCAUCUCACAGGAACUCUUCUACCCUCAGAUUUCCUAAAAACUGUCAGAGCCACUUAGCAUAUGCAGAUUCUAUGUGCCAGGCCCACCACUAGACACUUGCUUUUAUAUUAACCCAUUUUGCAAAUCAAACC
rnacentral:lncRNA from 1 species